AGAACACUCACCUGCAGUAACAGCUGUUCAUCUGUUGAGACCCUUAUCUUAACUUAUCACUUUCAGAAGGGCAGACAAACUCAAUGUGGUGCUUACAGAGUUUCGCUCUUAGUGCCCAGGCUAGAGUGCAAUGGUGGGAUCUCAGCUCACUGUAACCUCCGCCUCCCAGGUUCAAGCGAUUUUCCUGCCUCAGCCUCCUGAGUAGCUGGGAUUACAGAUGCCCGCUACCACGCCUGGGCUGAAAGGAUUAUAACAUGUAAUUAUGUUUAAAAUUCCAUGUGAUCUAAAAUUCCAUCAUUCUAUCGUGAGCCCAGGAGCUCCUGUUGCAUAAAACAUAUGCUAAUCAAUAAAUGUGAUACAUCACAUCAACAGAAUAAAAAACAAAAAAAGUAUGAUCAUCUCCAUAGAUGCAGAAAAAGCUUUUGAUAAAAUUCAGUAUCCCUUCAUAACAAAUACUGAAAACAAAUUAGGCAUAGAAGGAACAUAUUUCCACAUAACAAAGGCCAUAUAUGACAAACCCAUAGCUAACAUUAUACUGAAUGGGGAGAAGCUGAAUGCCUUUCUUCCAAGAACUGGAACAAAACAAAUAUGCUCUCUUUCACCACUCCUAUUCAACACAGUACUAGAAGUUCUGUCUAACGCAAUCAGGCAAGAGAAAGAAAUAAAGGUUUUCCAAAUUAGAAAAGAGGAAGUCUAAUUGCUCCCUCUUUGAAGAUUAUAUGAUCUUAUAACUAGAAAAAUGUAGAGAAUUCACCAAAAACUCACAGAACUGAUCAACACAGUAAAGUUGCAAGAUACAAAAUCAGUCAACAUGCAAAAGUCAGAAGCAUUUCUAUACACCAACAACAAGGUAGCUGAAAAAGAAAUCAAGAAAGCAAUCCCAUGUAUAAUAGCUACAAAAAAAUAAAAUACCUAGGAAUGAAUUUAACCCGAGGAGUGAAAGAUAUCUAAGGAAAACUGCAAAAUAUUAUUGAAAGAAAUUGAAGAUGACAGAAACACAUGGAA